UAUUAAAGCCUUUUAUCUUUAUUCUCCAUUUAAUUUCUCCUCAGUAAGAGAACAUUUUGUUUAAUACUCCAAGCACAAGGACACAAGUAGCAAUCAGCAAUAAAAAUAUUUAUGCUAACUUACUUCUCCCAAAGAGGCACUUGCACAUUUUUAAUGGUUUGAAAUGUAUUAAAACUAUCGAUUAUUCUCAGAGAAAUUAACACUGUAUCAUGGACCACCUUUGUUCAGGUCAAAUAAGACCCAUGAGCAGGAGACAUCUGUAUCUUUAAAAUAAGUUUAUGUAAUUGGCAACUGCUCUUAGGGCUACCGUUAUUACAAUAUCAUUCUAACUUUAAUCACUUGAAAAGUGAACUUUAUUUCCAACUAAAUCCUUGAAUUGAGGCACAAAAUUUUUACUUUAAUCGUCUAAACUUAAGUGUGCAUUCUGAAUUUUGUUGUUUAGGAAUGCUUUAUAGAGCAUUCCUUAUGAUGGAAUUCCAUUAGGAUUCUUAAAUUAUUGCUAAAACAACUAAGUACCCUGGGCUAGAAAGAGAUCAACCUAGGUACUUCUGCUCCUAUUUAAGUUCCCAGCACAGGGAAAAAAUGUUUUACAGGAUGCUCUACUUUAUUUUGUUUGUUCUAAUAGAAAAAUCCCUGAACUAGGAGGGAGAAGAUUUGAGCUUAUUAUUGGGGAGGGAGGCAGUUAUUCAGCAUUUUACAGUUUAUGAAGUGCUUUAAUUAAUUUUAUUUCAUUAAAUAUAUUUCUGAGUUCAUCCUCUCUAAUAGACUUAAACUACAUUUAUAAAACUUUUCUAUUUCAGUCUCUAAAUCCAUAAACCUAUAAAUCAGGAAGAUGAAGUCUUCCUGAUUCUAAAAAGAAUACAAAUUUUCACUAUUUAGGGAGCUGUUUUCACUUGCUGUUGUUGUUGUUUGUCCUACUCAGAUACAUUGCCUCAUAGUAUUGAUGUAAAAAAUACAAUUUUGGAUAAAAUUAAAAUUGCCCAAUAUAGAAAAAUAGAUAUCCAUGAUGCUGAAACUGUUGUUAUUUUUAUAUGGUACAUUCUGGAACCUUAUAUAUUAUGUAGUUUUAACCAAAUAUAUUUUUGUAGGAAGAAUUAUCACUAUCAUCAAGUAAUAUCUCUUCAAAAUUAUUACACUAAGUUUUUGUUUCUUC
rnacentral:lncRNA from 12 species